CCCUUAGAUGUUCUGGGCCGCACGCGCGCUACACCGAUGCAUUCAACGAGUUUCUUCCUGGUCCGAGAGGAAUGGGUAACCUUUUGAAAGUGCAUCGUGAUAGGGAUAGACUAUUGCAAUUAUUGGUCUUCAACGAGGAAUUCCUAGUAGACGUAGUUCAUCAGACUGCAUCGAUUACGUCCCUGCCCUUUGUACACACCGCCCGUCGCUCCUACCGAUUGAAUGCUCAGGUGAGCCAUUCGGACUUUCAUCAUGCUGGUUUCCAGUUUUGAUGAAGGAAAGUCUUGCGAACCUUAUCAUUUAGAGGAAGGAGAAGUCGUAACA
rnacentral:rRNA from 1 species